GUCAGAUUAGUCUCAUAAGUACUCGUACAUACAUUGUGGGAUUCGUAAACACAUAGCACGCGAAACACACACACAUUGUGGGAUUCGUACACACAUAGCACGCGAACCACACACAUUGUGGGAUUCGUAAACACAUAGCACGCGAAACACACACACAUCGUGGGAUUCGUAAACACAUAGCACGCGAAACACAAACACAUUCACCAAAUGUGUGUGUGAAUUGUUUUACGCGCAUUUGCAACGUGCUUCCAAUUACAAAUUCCCACUUACGAAUACAAAUUCCCACUUACGAAUGUGUGGAUCGUUUUGAUACCCGUCAUGCGCAACUGAGAAGAACACAUGCAUUUUUUUAACUGGAGCCCGUCUUCAGCCAAUCAGACGUCUUCUUCUUAAACAGCCAAUCACAAGGGCUGGGCUGUUUCGUUACGUCACUGCUGUGCGCCUUCAAGUCCGGUGUACUGAGUGACAAGUGACAAAUGGGGAGCUUUUGUAAAAGUAGGAGCCCCGUUUUUGACAGCUCAACUCGACCGCGGGGACUAUCGAUGCAAGCUGAAGACGUCCCAUCCAUUUUGAGUGGGAGGACCUCCCAUGCACUUCAAAUGUAUUGGAUGUCAACUGGUGAAAAACUCAUUGAACCGCUCAGCAGAGGGAUGAUGAGAGCAAGAUUAGAUGUCUAAUACUGUACUAUAUGUGGCACAUUUUUAACAGGCUUUUUUUCCGCUAAAUAAGUCUUUUUAAGAUUACUUUCUCCAUUUCAAGCCUAUUUGAAAGUCAUACUUGGGAAAAUUCAGACUUCUUAAUGUAUGAUUGUGAUGUCUAUGCUUAAACCAAUUUAAGACCAUUUUAAAAGGAAAAAAAUAGACAUUAUAAGCUUGUUAAAAAUGCUACCUACAGUGACAGUAUUUAAAGGAUGGUAGUCUAUUACGGAUAUAAAAAAAUAUAUUUUUUGAAAGACUUGGAGCAACAGAGCUUUCUUGCCAAAUGAAUCACCUUUGAUACACUUAGGAUUUAGAACUCUUUCCUCAAAAAAAAAAAAAAAAAAAAAAAAAAAAAGGAUGCAAGUCAACUCAUGCAUCUGCAUGUUCCAUGAGAAAAACAGGAUUUAACAAGGAAAAUAGAUAUUAGAGCGCUUAUUACACAUUUUUCUUUACAAAUUUGGAAAAAAAAAGGUUUAAGACCUUAUUUUUCACAUUUUGUGAUUCUCUGACAAUUGCUUCAUAUUGCAGGCAUUAAGGGGUUAAGACCUGCCACAUGAAUUUUACUACCUUUUUAAACACUUUUUUUUAUUGCGACAAACCUAAUAAGUGAUCAAUGAUGGCAAGAGAGGAUAAAGCGCAGCAGCAAAUCCUCAGAUCUGUUCUUUGGAUGCCUUUGAAAGUAAAUAGUGACAUUGAGAGCAAUCAGGAGUUCAAUUAUGUGAGGUGAGGAGACCAAGUAAGUUUUGAGACAUUUUUUUAAUUUAAAUAGACAUCUCAGACUCCCAGCCUGUAGGAGGGCACAGGCUAGAUCUCCUCGAGCCUUCAGAACUUCGGGAAGGUGGGUCUGGUUGUGCCUGAGAUCUCCAUUGGCCAUAUACUCUUCCGCAAACUGAAAUGGCAUUUUAGGCAUUCUGUUACAUAUCAGUGCUAAACAACAACAGCAGCAAAGUUUUACUGCAGAGACUCCGAAAUCUUAAAAUCAUUACCUUUAAUGUGAAAACCCCACAGCUACUGUUGUUCUGCUGCUUGUUAUGGGCCACAGUUUUGGUAGUCCAAGUUUCUAUUUGGAACUCACGGCCCGCCAACCUCAAGAAGUUCCUAAUUAUUGUUUUAUAAGCAAAACAAUGAAGAUGAACAUUGAACUAUUAACUUCCAUAUUAACAUAAUACUAGGAAUUUAAACUUUCUGAAGCGGUUACCUCCAAUUCCGCAAGAUUUUGCUCAUAUUUGUCCUCGUUACUCAAGGGAUCGUUGAUCACCAGUGUUCUCUUAGAAAUGUGGACAAUCUAUAAAAGGUUAGUUCCUUUGUGUAAUUCUGCACAAUGACAGAUUUAUGUAGUUAACUUACUAAUGAAAUUUAACUUCUGUAUGGCAUCAGCUAAAUUAAUAGCUAUAUAUAAUACAUUCCAGAAUCGGUAGGUCUUAAGAAAAUAUAAGAAACCCACUAACCACUAAAAUCCAAUGAGCGCAUACAGGACAGGACAGGACAAAUACACUUUUUUUUUCAACAGGGAAUUUCCUCUGAAGAACAUACAAUACCAAAUUAUUGUUAUUUUGGGUUACUGGCGUUAAAAUAAUAUAGCUAAAUAUUGGCAUGAAAUGGAUUACCUUUCUAACAGGCUGAAAUUUUCCCAAAAGCAGACUCCCAGCUACCACAGCAGAGAGUUGGUGAAUGGGCUCCUGUUAAAAAAAGGGGUAACAACAUUACAACUAUACUCCGGCAAAAAAUAAAUGCAUUGAGAAAAACUAUAUCCAGCACUUGGCUGCUGCCUUUCAAUGAGGAUAUGCAUGUAUGCAUCAAAUACUUGCAUAGCAAAAUAAAAAAAUUGGCAAAAGGCAAGAAUCUUUGUUAUUUGCUAAACACUUAUUGCUCCCACUGACUUCAUCAGACAGCCAGCCGUUGCCUUUUAGCGUAUGAAAAGAUGUGUCAUAUAAUUUAUACGGUCCAACGACAGCCUCCACCUUGCCUUGAUCCUCUGCAGCCCACAGUAAUUUAACUGAAAACACAACAUUGUUAAAUCAAAAAAGUUAUUAUUUACGGCACUUGACCAGAUGACCAUCCGGUCAAAAUUAUCUACUGAAUAGGCCAAACCACCAAACAAAUCCUGUCGGUCGUUCACCAAUUUUGUAAGAGCUGUACGAAGUAGAAGGGUACAAUUAGAUAUACAUUUUAGAACACCAACAACAAC